CAGCAGCCACGGUAAUACGAAGGGUGCAAGCGUUACUCGGAAUUACUGGGCGUAAAGCGUGCGUAGGUGGUGGUUUAAGUCCGUCGUGAAAGCCCUGGGCUCAACCUGGGAAUUGCAGUGGAUACUGGGUCACUAGAGUGGGGUAGAGGAUAGUGGAAUUUCCGGUGUAGCAGUGAAAUGCGUAGAGAUCGGAAGGAACAUCUGUGGCGAAGGCGACUAUCUGGGCCAACACCGACACUGAGGCACGAAAGCGUGGGGAGCAAACAGGAUUAGAUACCCCCGUAGUCCCUGUCUCUUAUAC
rnacentral:rRNA from 1 species